rnacentral:rRNA from 1 species
GGAUCAGUACGCUGGUCAUGCUUUCGGGUAUGUACUGGUGUCACUGAUUCCUCCCUUCUGACGAACUAUCAUGCCAUUUACUUGGUGUGGUGGGGAAUUAGGACUGUUAUUUUGAAAAAAUUAGAGUGUUUAAAGCAGGCUCACGCUUGAAUACAUUAGUAUGGAAUAAUGAAAUAGGAUGUUGAUCUUAUUUUGUUGGUUUCUAGGAUCACCGUA